CCCAGACUCCUACGGGAGGCAGCAGUGGGGAAUAUUGCACAAUGGGGGAAACCCUGAUGCAGCGACGCCGCGUGAGCGAAGAAGUAUUUCGGUAUGUAAAGCUCUAUCAGCAGGGAAGAAAAAAAUGACGGUACCUGAGUAAGAAGCACCGGCUAAAUACGUGCCAGCAGCCGCGGUAAUACGUAUGGUGCAAGCGUUACCCGGAUUUACUGGGUGUAAAGGGAGCGUAGGCGGCGCGUUAAGUCUGAUGUGAAAACCCGAGGCUCAACCACGGGAGUGCAUUGGAAACUGGCGGGCUGGAGUGCCGGAGAGGUAAGCGGAAUUCCUAGUGUAGCGGUGAAAUGCGUAGAUAUUAGGAGGAACACCAGUGGCGAAGGCGGCUUACUGGACGGCAACUGACGCUGAGGCUCGAAAGCGUGGGGAGCAAACAGGAUUAGAUACCCGCGUAA
rnacentral:rRNA from 1 species